AACUACGCCACUGCUCAGUGGCAGAGCAUCUGCUUGGCAAUCAGAAUGUCCCAGGUUCAAUUCCUUGCAACUGUAGUUA
rnacentral:tRNA from 1 species